CCGAGUGCGGGCCCUCUGGGUCCAACCUCCCACCCGUGUUUAUCGUACCUUGUUGCUUCGGCGGGCCCGCCGUCAGGCCGCCGGGGGCAUCCGCCCCGGGCCCGCGCCCGCCGAAGACACCCCUGAACGCUGUCUGAAGAUUGCAGUCUGAGCGAUUAUUAAAUUAUUUA
rnacentral:misc_RNA from 1 species